rnacentral:rRNA from 1 species
UACGUAGGGAGCAAGCGUUGUCCGGAAUCAUUGGGCGUAAAGCGCGCGUAGGUGGCCAUGUAAGUCCGCUGUGAAAGUCAAAGGCUCAACCUUUGAAAGCCGGUGGAUACUGCAUGGCUAGAGUACGGAAGAGGCGAGUGGAAUUCCUGGUGUAGCGGUGGAAUGCGCAGAUAUCAGGAGGAACACCAAUAGCGAAGGCAGCUCGCUGGGACGUUACUGACACUGAGGCGCGAAAGCGUGGGGAGCGAACGG